UACGUAGGGUGCGAGCGUUGUCCGGAAUUAUUGGGCGUAAAGGGCUCGUAGGCGGUUUGUCGCGUCGGGAGUGAAAACCAGGUGCUUAACUCCGAAACUGCAUUCGAUACUGCCGUGCUUGAGGACUGGAGAGGAGACUGGAAUUUACGGUGUAGCGGUGAAAUGCGUAGAUAUCGUAAGGAAGACCAGUGGCGAAGGCGGGUCUCUGGACAGUUCCUGACGCUGAGGCACGAAGGUCAGGGGAGCAAACGGG
rnacentral:rRNA from 1 species